AUGUCCGCCGACGGCCCCGGCGCGGUCCGCCGCGCGCUGGACAGGGCCGGCGCGAGCCUCCGCACCGGCCGCCGCGCGCUCGCCCGCUUCGCGCCCCGCCCCUCGGCCUUCGCCCCGGCGCCCGACGCCGAGGCCGCGGCGGUCCGCGCCGUGCGCAACCUCCGCACCUUCCGCGUCCACUACGCCGUGAUCCAGUGGGCGCUGCUGCUCGCCUCCCUCGCGCCCCGCCACCGCGCCUCCAUGCUCUUCCUCAUGGCCGCCUCCAAGGGCCUGCUCCUCUACGGGGGCCUCCUCCGGGCCUUCCCCAACUCCGCGCUCCUCCGCCGCCUCCUCGACCGCCGCCUCGUCGCCGCCGUCUUCGUGGUCCUCGUCGUCGCCGACCUCGCGGCGGCUGAUGCCAUACCCAACCUCCUCUUCGCGCUCGCCGCCGGGGCCCCCGUCGUCGUGCUCCACGCCGCGUUCCGCGUCCGCGACGACCUCGAGCCCGUCGCCUCCGCCGACAGCGCCGGAGGGGAGGAGGCCACGGGGGUGGUGGUGGAGAAGAAGGAGGACGGCGACAUGGAGACGGGGCCGACGCGCCGCUCCGCCACGGCCGCCACCAAGUCCUAG
rnacentral:rRNA from 1 species